rnacentral:rRNA from 1 species
UUUUGCGCAAUGGGGGGAACCCUGACGCAGCGACGCCGCGUGGGUGAUGAAGGCCUUCGGGUUGUAAAGCCCUGUUGGGGGGGAAGAUAAUGACGGUACCCCCUGAGGAAGCCCCGGCUAACUACGUGCCAGCCGCCGCGGUAAGACGUAGGGGGCGAGCGUUGUCCGGAAUUACUGGGCGUAAAGGGCGUGUAGGCGGCCUUUCAAGUCGGCUGUGAAAUACCCCGGCUCAACCGGGGGGGUGCAGUCGAAACUGGGGGGCUUGAGUGCAGGAGAGGAGGGUGGAAUUCCCGGUGGAGCGGUGAUAUGCGUAGAUAUCGGGAGGAACACCGGUGGCGAAGGCGACCUUCUGGCCUGUUACUGACGCUGAGGCGCGAAAGCCGGGGGAGCAAACAGG